GAUGAACGCUGGCGGCGUGCUUAACACAUGCAAGUCGAACGAGAAGUGGAGACGGAAACCUUCGGGCGGAAGACUUUACUUCGAGUGGCGGACGGGUGAGUAACGCGUGGGUAACCUGCCUCAUACAGGGGGAUAACAGUUGGAAACGACUGUUAAUACCGCAUAAGACCACAGCACCGCAUGGUGCGGGGGUAAAAACUCCGGUGGUAUGAGAUGGACCCGCGUUCGAUUAGCCAGUUGGCGGGGUAACGGCCCACCAAAGCGACGAUCGAUAGCCGAUCUGAGAGGAUGACCGGCCACAUUGGGACUGAGACACGGCCCAAACUCCUACGGGAGGCAGCAGUGGGGAAUAUUGCACAAUGGGGGAAACCCUGAUGCAGCGACGCCGCGUGAGUGAAGAAGUAUUUCGGUGUGUAAAGCUCUAUCAGCAGGGAAGAAAAUGACAGUACCUGAGUAAGAAGCCCCGGCUAACUACGUG
rnacentral:rRNA from 1 species